ensembl:ncRNA lncRNA:CR45374 long non-coding RNA:CR45374
ACCCACAGACACCGACACCGACUCCAUCACGCAUUUGAAAUGAUUUCGAAUCAAACCGAUUUUCCCCAGCAGCAUCAACACCUGAUUCGUUGUUAUUUUUAUCCAGAAACUGGACUGCGAUCGGCGACUAAUUAAAAACGCUUCGAUAUUUAUGGCUACUUUAAUGGCUAAGACGACACAAGUAAGGGGCAACUUUGUUGCCUUUUUGAAAUUAUUUUGUCAAAUUUUUAAAGCGACUGCAGAACUGUGGCUUAACGCAAAUAUUGACCCGUUCAUAAACUCUUAGAAUUUAUGGCACUUUGAGCCGCUGGCGACUUAUUUAUUUUUAUUCGAGCUCAACAAGAAAUACACAAAUUUGCAUGCAUCGGCAUUUCUGUUGAGCCGAAAAAUGAAACACGAAUUUCUCAUUAGGU